GAAGGGUCCAGUCUGUCUCAGAGGUGCUGUGGUUGGAGGUGGAGUGUGGGGCAUGGCUGAGCACCCAACAUCCGCUUCACCCUCUCCCCUGCUCCCCAGCACGUUCCUUCACCCUGUAGCUCUAGGUCUCUGUAGCAGACACUCAGCUCUAACUGCUGACCUGAUGGCUCCACUUGGUGUUCAAACAUCCCAGAUUCAUGUUGUCAAAGAGAGCUGUUUCCAGUGGGGACCCCAGGCCCACCAGUUACCGCCCUCUGAAGGUAUCCACACACAAACAUGAAACUGGACCAAAGCAGGGACCCCCCGCACGCAGAAUAGUGCUGGGCUCGCGUAAGGCACCUCAGUGGGUCCAUCAGCUGAUGCAUGGACAGACAAAAUGGGUGUAUCCAGACACUGGAGUAUCGUGCAGCGAGGAAACGUGCUGAGUGUGGAGGGACCUUAAACACACCAUGCAAGUGAAAAGGCGUCACAGAAGGCCACAUACGAUAUGAUCCCAUUUCUAUGAAAUGUCCAGAAGAGGCACAUUCAUAAAGACAGAAGGUGGCUGAGUGGUUGUCGGGCUGGGUGGAGGGGAUAGGGAGUGAAUGCAAGAAGGAUCCUUCUGAGGUAACAGAAGUAUCCGGAAACUGGAUUGGAGUGAUGGGUGCACAGCUCUGCACAUUUACUACAGUCGCUGAACUGCACACAUAACACGGGUAUAUUUUAUUGCAUAGGAAUUGUAUUAAAGCUGUUAAGAAUUUUACUUAGAUUAGCAUUUUUCCCACACUGUGCCAUCAACUUAGUAUAUGAUUAGAUUCAUUGUUUCUAACUGUAUUUAAAUUUAAUGUUUGUCACAUUUUGCUUGCUAAAUUUUUAAAAUUUUAAAUGACUGUGGGUACAUAAAAGGUGUAUAUAUUUAUGGAGUACCUUGAUAUUUUAAUACAGACAUACAAUGUAUAAUGAUCAACUCCUAGUAACUGGGGUAUCCAUCACCUCAAGCCUGUAUCAUUUCUUUGUUAGGAACAUUCCAGUUCCACUCUUUUUGUUACUUAAAAAUAUACAAUACAUUAUUAUUAACUAUA